AUUGAACGCUGGCGGCAGGCUUAACACAUGCAAGUCGAGCGGGGGAGGUUGCUUCGGUAACUGACCUAGCGGCGGACGGGUGAGUAAUACUGAGGAAUCUGCCUAUUAAUGGGGGACAACAUCUCGAAAGGGAUGCUAAUACCGCAUACGCCCUACGGGGGAACGCAGGGGAUCACUUGUGACCUUGCGUUAAUAGAUGAGCCUAGGUCGGAUUAGCUAGUUGGUGGGGUAAAGGCCUACCAAGGCGACGAUCUGUAGCGGGUCUGAGAGGAUGAUCCGCCACACUGGGACUGAGACACGGCCCAGACUCCUACGGGAGGCAGCAGUGGGGAAUAUUGGACAAUGGGGGGAACCCUGAUCCAGCCAUGCCGCGUGUGUGAAGAAGGCCUUAUGGUUGUAAAGCACUUUAAGCGAGGAGGAGGCUCUUUUGGUUAAUACCCAAGAUGAGUGGACGUUACUCGCAGAAUAAGCACCGGCUAACUCUGUGCCAGCCGCCGCCGUAA
rnacentral:rRNA from 1 species